rnacentral:rRNA from 1 species
AUUGAACGCUGGCGGCAGGCCUAACACAUGCAAGUCGAACGAGUGGCGGACGGGUGAGUAAUGUCUGGGAAACUGCCUGAUGGAGGGGGAUAACUACUGGAAACGGUAGCUAAUACCGCAUACCAUCGGAUGUGCCCAGAUGGGAUUAGCUAGUAGGUGGGGUAAAGGCUCACCUAGGCGACGAUCCCUAGCUGGUCUGAGAGGAGGACCAGCCAAACGGGAACUGAGAAACGGGCCAGACUCCUACGGGAGGAAGCAGAGGGGAAUAUUGCACAAUGGGCGCAAGCCUGAUGAAGCCAUGCCGCGUGGAUGAAGAAGGCCUUCGGGUGGUAAAGUACUUUCAGCGGGGAGGCGUUACCCGCAGAAGAAGCACCGGCUAACUACGUGCCAGCAGCCGCGGUAAUAC